GAUGAACGCUGGCGGCGUGCCUAAUACAUGCAAGUCGAGCGAACAGACGAGGCGCUUGCUCCUCUGACGGUAGCGGCUGACGGGUUAGUAACACGUGGAUUAACUCCCUAUAAGACUGCGCUACCUUCGGGAAACCGGAGCUAAUACCAGAUAAUAUAUCGCAUAAUAUGGUUUAAUCGCGUAAUCCGGUUUUGCUAUCACUUAUACAUGAAUCUGCUCCGCAUUAGCUUGUUGGUAAGGUAACGGCUUACAAAGGCCACGCGGCGUAGCCGACCUGAGAGGGUGAUCGGCCGCACUAGAACGGAGUCACGGUGCAGACUCGGACGGGAGGCAGCAGUAGGGAAUCUGCCGGAAGGGGCGGAAGCUUGACGGAGCAAAGCGGCGUGAGUGAUGAAGAGCAUCGGAGCGUAAAGCUCUGCGAUUAGGGAAGAACAAAUGUGUGAGUAAAGAGGCGAGUAAUGACGGUACCUAAGGAGAAAGCCACGGCUAACUACGUG
rnacentral:rRNA from 1 species